rnacentral:rRNA from 1 species
CAGCCGCGGUAAACCAGCUCUUCAGUGGUCGGGAUAAUUAUUGGGCUUAAAGUGUCCGUAGCCGGUUUAGUAAGUUCCUGGUAAAACCGGGCAGCUUAACUGUCCGUAUGCUAGGAAUACUGCUAUGCUAGAGGGCGGGAGAGGUCUGAGGUACUACAGGGGUAGGGGUGAAAUCUUAUAAUCCUUGUAGGACCACCAGUGGCGAAAGCGUCAGACUGGAACGCGCCUGACGGUGAGGGACGAAAGCCAGGGGAGCGAACCGGAUUAGAUACCCGGGUAGUCCUGGCCGUAAACGAUGCAUACUAGGCAAUGGUGCGGCCAUGAGCCGCAUCAGUACCGUAGGGAAACCGUUAAGUGUGCCGCCUGGGAAGUACGGUCGCAAGGCUAAAACUUAAAGGAAUUGGCGGGGGAGCACCACAAGGGGUGAAGCCUGCGGUUCAAUUGGACUCAACGCCGGGAAACUUACCAGGGGAGACAGCAGAAUGACAGUCAGGUUGACGACCUUACUCGACGAGCUGAGAGGAGGUGCAUGGCCGUCGCCAGUUCGUGCUGUGAGGUAUCCUGUUAAGUCAGGCAACGAACGAGAUCCGCGCCUUUAUUUGCCAUCAAGAAGUCACGACUUCGUUGGGAACACUAAAGGGACCGCCGUCGAUAAGACGGAGGAAGGAGCGGGCAAAGGCAGGUCAGUAUGCCCCGAAACCCCUGGGCUACACGCGGGCUGCAAUGGUGCGAACAAUGGGCUGUAACUCCGAAAGGAGAAACCAAUCCCGAAAUCGCAUCUCAGUGGGGAUUGUCGACUGUAACUCGUUGACAUGAAUCGUGGAAUACCUAGGUAAUCGCGUGUCACCA